rnacentral:rRNA from 1 species
AGCGGCGAACGGGUGAGUAACACGUAGGAAAUCUACUUGAGUGGGGAAUACCGUUCCGAAAGGAACGUUAAUACCGCAUAACAAUUUUGAUCGAUAGAUCAACAUUUAAAGGGGGCUUCGCAAGAGGCUCUCGUUUGAGGAUGAGCCUGCGUCCCAUUACUAGUUGGUAGGUAAUGGCCUACCAAGGCAACGAUGGGUAGCUGGUCUGAGAGGACGACCAGCCACACUGGAACUGACACACGGUCCAGACCGCCUACGGGAGGCAGCAGUGGGGAAUAUUGCGCAAUGGAGGAAAUCUGACGCACGAGCCGGUUGGGUGAUGAAGCCUUCGGUUGUAAACCCCUGGUUCGGGGUUUGGGGGGGAAACAAACGAAAUUAGUUCCGUUGGUCUUAAAUUUAACCCAACGGAUUCGGUUUCGGCUUUGGGUACCCCAGCCAAAAAGGGCAACACCACCCCGGGNUUAAAAUUACCUUGUGGCCAAGACACAACACAGCGGAUUACAUAUCCUCAGCACCAGGUUUCGCACAACGCNCUUCGUCCAUCGAACUAUACCUAGGGGCGCUUUCAANAGGGGACCCUUCAGCGCAGUCAUUCUCCAC